GAUGAACGCUGGCGGCGUGCCUAAUACAUGCAAGUCGAGCGAACAGAUGAGGAGCUUGCUCCUCUGACGUUAGCGGCGGACGGGUGAGUAACACGUGGAUAACUUACCUAUAAGACUGGGAUAACUUCGGGAAACCGGAGCUAAUACCGGAUAAUAUAUUGAACCGCAUGGUUCAAUAGUGAAAGACGGCUUUGCUGUCACUUAUAGAUGGAUCUGCGCCGCAUUAGCUAGUUGGUAAGGUAACGGCUUACCAAGGCAACGAUGCGUAGCCGACCCGAGAGGGUGGUCGGCCACACUGGAACGGAGACACGGUCAAGACUCCUACGAGAUGCAGCAGUCGGGAAUCUUCCGCAAUAGGCGAAAGCCUGACGGAGCAGGGCCACGUGAGAGAUAAAGGUCUUCGGAUCGUAAUACUCUGUUAUUGGUGAAGAACAAAUGUGUAAGUAACUAUACACGUCUUGACGGUACCAAGUCAAAAAGCCACGGCUAACUACGUG
rnacentral:rRNA from 1 species